rnacentral:rRNA from 1 species
GAUGAACGCUGGCGGCGUGCCUAAUACAUGCAAGUCGAGCGAAGAAGGUUGGUGCUUGUUCCUACUGGAUGAGCAGCGAACGGGUGAGUAACGCGUGGGGAAUCUGCCUUUGAGACGGGGACAACAUCUGGAAACGAAUGCUAAUACCGCAUAAAAUCUUUAAACACAUGUUUCAAGAUUGAAAGAUGCAAUUGCAUCACUCAAAGAUUAUCCCCCGUUGUAUUAGCUUGUUGGUGAGGGAAAGGCCUACCCAGGCGAAGGUACAUAACCGACCUGGAAAGGGUGACGGGCACAAUUGGACUGGGACACCGCCCAAGCUCCCUCGGGGGGGAAGAAGAAGGGAUCCUCGGCCAAUGGGGGAAGGCUGGCCGAGCAACGCCGCGUGAGGGAAGAAGGUUUUCGGAUCGUAAAACUCCGUUGGUAAGGAAGGACGACGGUGGGAAUGGAAAGCGCAUCAAGUGACGGUAACUACCCAGAAAGCGACGGCUAACUACGUG